rnacentral:misc_RNA from 1 species
GAAAUGCGAUACGUAGUGUGAAUUGCAGAAAACCGUGAACCAUCGAAUCUUUGAACGCAUAUUGCGCUCGAGGCCUCGGCCGAGAGCAUGUCUGCCUCAGCGUCGGGUUAAUACUCGCUCUCCAAUCCCUGUGUGAUUGGUGGAACGGAUCUGGUGGUCCCAAUAAUAAACUUACCGCGGUGGAGUAAUUUUAACUAAUUACUCCUACUAUAGGUUUGUGUAUCUUGGGUCCGCUGAAGCGCAGAGGAUGAUGUAUGGCCUGCUAUGGGCCGCAACUGGGUGGGCAAUUCGUUGCUAAAUUCUAGUUGUUGGCUUGGGACAAACAUCUUCCCUCAACCAGGAAACAUAUUAACCAUUUUCUCGACCUGAGCUCAGGCAAGAUUACCCGCUGAACUUAAGC